AAUGGCAAUAAUGGUGGGAAAGAGGCAAGAAGUUGGUUAGCAAAGAGAACAAAACAAAACGAUGAAAAAAUAGCAAAUAAAACAGAAUUAUGAUACUCU